rnacentral:rRNA from 1 species
UACGGAGGGUGCAAGCGUUAUCCGGAUUCACUGGGCUUAAAGGGUGCGUAGGCGGGUAGGUAAGUCAGUGGUGAAAUCUCCGGGCUCAACUCGGAAACUGCCGUUGAUACUAUCUGUCUUGAAUACCGUGGAGGUGAGCGGAAUAUGUCAUGUAGCGGUGAAAUGCUUAGAUAUGACAUAGAACACCAAUUGCGAAGGCAGCUCACUACACGAGCAUUGACUCUGAGGCACGAAAGCGUGGGGAUCAAACAGG